rnacentral:rRNA from 1 species
AUAUAUUCCCGUACCCGCUUCAAUGCGCCCAUAUCGAACCUCGUGAUGCUAAGAGUCUUUAAGUCCUCUGAUGUCCUUCGGGACUAGGGGUGAGGCUGAACGCUCGAUUCGAUCGGGUAGUAGGUAAGCGAUGGGGUGACGCAGGAAGGUAGUCCAGCCCAGGCGAUGGUUGUCCUGGGGUAAGCAUGUAGGGAGCGAGGUAGGUAAAUCCGCCUCGUAUAUAUCCUGAGAUGUGAUGCCGAGCCGAUUGUGGUGAAGUGGAUGAUCCUAUGCUGCCGAGAAAAGCCUCUAGUGAGUGUUGUGGCGGCCCGUACCCUAAACCGACUCAGGUGGUCAGGUAGAGAAUACCAAGGCGAUCGGGUGAACUGUGGUUAAGGAACUCGGCAAAUUGCCCCCGUAACUUCGGGAGAAGGGGGACCUCUGCUGGUGAUGGGCUUUACGUUCUGAGCUGGUGGGGGUCGCAGUGGCCAGGGGGAAGCGACUGUUUACUAAAAACACAGGUCCGUGCGAAGUCGUAAGACGAUGUAUACGGACUGACGCCUGCCCGGUGCCGGAACGUUAAGGGGACCGCUUAGCCAACGCGAGUUGGCGAAGGUGAGAACUUAAGCGCCGGUAAACGGCGGUGGUAACUAUAACCAUCCUAAGGUAGCGAAAUUCCUUGUCGGGUAAGUUCCGACCUGCACGAAUGGCGUAACGACUUCCCCGCUGUCUCAACCACAGACCCGGCGAAAUUGCACUACGAGUAAAGAUGCUCGUUUCGCGCAGCAGGACGGAAAGACCCCGGGACCUUCACUACAGCUUGACAUUGGCGUUUGGAACGUCUUGUGUAGGAUAGGUGGGAGACUGGGAAGCUGUCACGCUAGUGAUGGUGGAGUCAUUGGUGAAAUACCACUCUGGUCGUUUUGAACGUCUAACUCUGGUCCGUGAUCCGGAUCGGGGACAGUGUCUGGUGGGUAGUUUAACUGGGGCGGUUGCCUCCUAAAGAGUAACGGAGGCGCCCAAAGGUUCCCUCAGCCUGGUUGGCAAUCAGGUGUUGAGUGUAAGUGCACAAGGGAGCUUGACUGUGAGACUGACAGGUCGAGCAGGAGCGAAAGCUGGGACUAGUGAUCCGGCAUCGGCGUGUGGAAGCGGUGUCGCUCAACGGCUAAAAGGUACCCCGGGGAUAACAGGCUGAUCUUCCCCAAGAGUCCAUAUCGACGGGAUGGUUUGGCACCUCGAUGUCGGCUCGUCGCAUCCUGGGGCUGGAGUAGUCCCAAGGGUUGGGCUGUUCGCCCAUUAAAGCGGUACGCGAGCUGGGUUUAGAACGUCGCGAGACAGUUCGGUCCCUAUCCGCUGCGCGCGCAGGAGACUUGAAGGGGGCUGUCCCUAGUACGAGAGGACCGGGACGGACGAACCUCUGGUGUGCCAGUUGUACCGCCAGGUGCACGGCUGGUUGGCUACGUUCGGAAGGGAUAACCGCUGAAAGCAUCUAAGCGGGAAGCUCGCCUUGAGAUGAGGUCUCCCACCCCGUGAGGGGGUAAGGCUCCCGGUAGAUCACCGGGUUGAUAGGCCGGAGGUGGAAGCACGGUAACGUGUGGAGCUGACCGGUACUAAUAGGCCGAGGACUUGACC